rnacentral:lncRNA from 1 species
AUGCAAAUGGACAUCAGCUGUGUGGUAAGCUAUGCACCAUUGGACUGAAAUACCAGUGCAGAAUAUUGGUAUCAUGAAGGUCUAGGAAAACAUAAAAGGUAAUCACUGGAAGCAAUUUAAAAAGGAGAUCAUGGCAGCUAUCUGUGGAGAUAUCAUAUACCACACUUGGCGUGCCAGGAAAUGGAGGAGGUUUAAGGACAAGCGUGUACAUACGGAGGAGGCAGUAACACAGAUAAAUAAGGAAAUCAUUGAAAGAUUACACUUAGUAGUUCAAAGAGCAAAAAAGUGUAGACACUUUAUUCAACAUUUGUUAUGUAAUUGGUUUUAUGUUUGGUAGGAGGCCUGUUCUCUCUUAUCAGAAUUAGGUGCUCUUUAUUUGUAUCCGUUCUUGGGUGGUUAUGGUAAUAUUUUACAGUUGUUACUAUAAAAGAAAAAAAUAAAAAUCUUCACUUGCAGAACCAUUCAGGUAAUUUAAGAAAGGAAAUUAUACAACAUGUUAUAAAAACAAAAUUAAAUGACAGCACAUCUAAAUUCUUAUCCUUUAAUGUUAAAUUCUUAACUUCAUGAAUUCUCUUUUGAUGUCAUAAGUUUUUAGUGUGAUUUUCAGGCCUUCAGAUCACAAAAAGAGACAUAUGAAGUGAUUCACUUUCAGUAUGACGACAACAAAUAAUUAAAUAAACACAACAUAUUAUGAUAUAGCUUUUUGCUCAAAACUCACAUUAUGUAAAAAGUAAAUAGAAGAAAACCAAAAAUAACACAAAAGAAAAUAAAGAGCAAAUGGUGGAGAUACUGAAAGGAAAAUCAAAGGGAAUAAAUGGAACUUGGAUAUAGAUAAUUGGAAGCAGAAUAUCAGUGUCAUAUAUAAAUUCCACAAGAAAUAUUUAGGAAAGAAAGAAAUCUUAAAAGAGAUAUAAACACCAAAUUUAUCUAUUAAUUGUAUAGAAAAUUAAUUGACAAUCAAAUUCGAUCAUAGCAGAUAACCAACACACACAACAACAGCCUGUGAUUAUACAAUAAAAGAUAUCCUCAUUAGAAUUGAAUCAACUAAUAAAACAAUUCUCUAAAAUAUAUCUUCAUAAAUAACUCAAAACUAAACUAAUGCUCAAGAACUUCAAUUACAAGAAUCUUAAGUACAUUUAAUCCUACAUCUUUGUCACUUGAAACUGAAGGGCUAAAAUUGUACAAAACGAACCUCAUGAAGAUGAGCCAAAAAAUGCUAGGAUCACUCACGAGUCACGACCAUUUGACUCAUCAGCAGUCAGCCAUGCCUACAUAAUGUCAAAAAUAGCAAAUUUGCUUGUACUGGGAAGCUUGUAAUAAAAAAGCUUCAACCAAUGUACCUUCAGGGUUUAUGAAAGUGGCGGGUGCAAGAUUUUUAUUUUUUUUUCGUUGAUAAGCUCCUGAGACUGGAACCUUGAGGAGGAAAAAUAAUUUGAUUUUUGGUAUCAAAUGAGGUUCAGAGAUGGAUGCCCAACGUCAAUCUAUCGACAACAAUGGUAGUGACCCGGAGCUUAACACAAAUUUGUUGCUUUUGUUCCCCAUUGUUGUUUGACAGAGAGAGCUUGAGCCAUGCCUCCCUAAUCGUUAUUAUAAUCCCAUAAAAACUAUAGAUAUAGUCAUAUAGGAUUCGGUUCUUGAAUACACUGGAACAGAUACAAAAAUAGAUUCAGUGAUCUGUCUGUUCUUAAAUUUUUUCCCAAAACUCUAGCCCUUUCUCUAUGUUGAGGAUUUGAAAAGAAUUUUAAGAGGAUUAAAGCAAAAAUUGAGAGAAAUAAAUUACCUGCAAUUAAAAUACCCAGUUAAGAAUGAACUCAAAGUUUGUACUUUGCUGAGUAGAGCAUCGGCAUUGUUAAUUGUAAGCAAAGAAGAGCGUAGAAGAGUGUAGAAGAAAGGAUUGGAAAACAAAAUGCCAUUAGAAUAUAAUAAAAAUUGGUAAGCAAAGAGGAGCGU